GCCCCCGUGGCGGAAUCGGUAGACGCAGCGGACUUAAAAUCCGUCGCUUUUGGCUUGUGGGUUCGAGUCCCACCGGGGGCACCU
rnacentral:tRNA from 5 species